ensembl:piRNA 21ur-2327 ncRNA
AAGAACUGGCUUCUGUGUGGA